rnacentral:antisense_RNA from 1 species
UCAUUUGAUAUGCCUCUCAGUGUUAGGAAAGAGAUAUUAAAAUGCAGCAAAUAAACAGCCUACAGGCCAGCUGUUAUUGCAAAAAAAACCCUGGGGUCCUCCAGGUACACAUUUUAUUUGCUGUAGUAGAAAAAUUCCCUUUCCUUUUCCUAGCUAAUUGUUUGCAUUAGUGCCUCCUGGUUCUUCGCUUGAAUUUACUAGAAAUGGAAAUUAAGAAAUGAGUCCAGUCAUUGAUCACUGGCCUGUCAACUUUGUGGACACUCACCCAGGUGAAUGAAAAAAUCUUGAUAAGGACAACAAAGUCAAUAGCACCAAAGGCGGUGCUUUUAAAGAAGUUGUUGUGAUGGUCUUUAAGCGGUUGAGACCAGUAGCCCUGUUAUCUAAUUGUCGCAUACUUUGUAAAUAAAACGAUUGCAUUCCCA